rnacentral:tRNA from 1 species
GCAGUCGUGGCCGAGUGGUUAAGGCGACGGACUAGAAAUCCAUUGGGGUCUCCCCGCACAAUCUCGAAUCCUGUCGACUGCA